rnacentral:misc_RNA from 1 species
UUUUGGCAGCCGCUGGAC